UGUGCAACAUAUUCCCUUUUGCUUAAACAGUUUGGAGAGGGGUUUUGUGUUCUGGUAAAUUUAAAAUGCAUCUCCUCAAAUAAAGGAAUCUCUUUGUUAUUAUAAAUAAUACAUCUUCCAUUAAAUGCUCAAAUGAACGCUGAAUAAGCGGCUUUAAACACACACUGACUGAUGUAGGCUGAAGUGCACCAUUGUGGGCAAUACAACUGACCCGGUGACAAGGUGUAUGAAGUUUGUCUGAGGAGCAUCUGUCAUCGAUCAGAAGCGAUUAAUGCAAGGAACAGUGUCUUAUCAGCUGCCACGAGCACAACACAAUCCUCGCUUCCCGCGAAAGAGCCGCGCGCAUUUACAGGCAUGAAAUUACAUCAAAUCCCCAAAGCGCUCGGCAAACGAAGGGUGCGCGCCGCGCGGUGCGGGAUCUGAUGUGGACUUAAACACAAAUGAAAGGAGGAUUCGUGAAGCAAAUGUAACAGAUAUGCCCAGCGCCGUACAACAGACGCCUUUAUUGUCGCUAUUGAAAGCAACAUGCCGCUGUGGUUCAGAAGUCAAACGGAGGUCAUCCUUUAUUUCCCCCCGCAGCGAUCAGCGACCAGGGGCCAGGGGCCAGUCAGCAGUGAACCCUGCCUUCUCCAGCACUGACAACUGCAUGGGACUUACAAGACUAGCGGGAAUGGG